GCCUGGGUGGCUCAGUCGGUGAAGCGUCCGACUUCAGCUCAGGUCGUGAUCUCAGUCCGUGGGUUCGAGCCCCGCGUCGGGCU
rnacentral:tRNA from 1 species